UUCACACCCAAAGCCAAUAAUCGGAGUUUUUAGUAACAGUGGUUUACACAGUGGGGUGAACAGCAAGCAAAUUUCGUUGCCUGUUAUGGGGCUGUGCCCUGCCCCUCACAGUGAGUUUUAAUUGUUUACCUCA
rnacentral:snoRNA from 1 species